rnacentral:rRNA from 1 species
UAGCAAGUCGACCAAAGGCGAAAGCAGUCAUCAAGGGCAUACCCGUUGAUCAAGAGCGAAAGUUAAGGGUUCGAAGACGAUCAGAUACCGUCGUAGUCUUAACUAUAAAUGAUACAGACUAGGGAUAGGACACUGUCCAUCUCGACUCCUCCUGAAUCUUUGAGAAAUUACCAGUCUUUGGGUUCUGGGGGGAGUAUGGUCGCAAGGCUGAAACUUAAAGGAAUUGACGGAAAGGCACACAAAGAGUGGAACCUGCGGCUUAAUUUGACCCAACACGGGAAAACUCACCAGGUCCGGAUACACGCAUGAAAGUCAAGCUGAAAGACUUUACUCAAUGAUGUAAGUGGUGGUGCAUGGUCGUUCUUAGUUCGUGGAUUGAUUUGUCUGGUCUAUUCCGAUAACGAGCGAGACCCCAGCGUUCCUAGUAGGGCCAACAGCCCGACCAGCCGCAAGGCUGGUUAGCUGGCGGCUUAACAUAAGCUUCUUAGACGCAUCAGGGCCGAUAAGGUCCUUGAAAUGGGUUAAUAACAGGUCAGUCAUGCCCUUAGAUGUUCUGGGCCGCACGCGCGUUACAAUGGCAUGUAAAGCGAGUGCCGGUUAACAUGGCAUAUCCGGGGCCGAAAGGCUCUGGUAACCAUUAGUCCCUGCUUAGACUGGGACAGAUCAUUGCAAUUAUUGGUCUCAAACGAGGAAUUUUUAGUAAGCAUAGGUCAUUAACCUUUGCUGAAUGAGUCCCUGCCUUUUGUACACACCGCC